rnacentral:lncRNA from 10 species
CCCACUGGGUUGGCUGAGCCUUUGUCAGAUCUGCAUUGCCGUCUGAGGCUUUCUCUGCCUAUUUCUACUUCCUCUCUCAUUUUUUUUUUUUGAUAGAUGUCAGAUUUGCAUCACCAUCUUAAGGCUUUAGGACCUGAACGGAUGCAGUCGGUACUGGAAGUGGUCUGAGAAAUCAGGAGAAACAAUGGGGAAUGGUGACUGAGUCACUCGCCACCUGAUUGGCAAUGAGGAACCCAUGCUGGGAGGUAUGAUGGACCCUGGCCUAAUCUUGCAGUCUGAUUGCUAUAACUUCCACUGGUAGUGAUUUGAGAAAAAAAUUCUGAUGGAGGGAAAUGCUCUGGCUGGUGCAAGGAUUUGAAAAUUCCAUGGUAGGGGGAGGUAGGGGUGGAGGUGUGUAGUCAUAAUACAUAUAAGAAUAGUGGAAUUGCCUGGUUGCUAUUAAGAUUCAAUGACACCCUACAGAGAGAUAAUGAAAUACUGAGGGAACUUAGUAAACAAUUGAAAAACAGGUGUGAAGGCCAGAAGUUCUCUUUGGUAGUUUACAAAUAGGCCCUUACCUCCAGAAGUGGGAUAGCAGAAAAACCUGAGGACAAAACUCAAUAAUUAAUAGUUAUAUUCAUUGACCUUCAGAAAUGAUUGAGUGUUCAGCUGAGGGAGUUUAUUAUACAAAAAGUUGGAGCCCUGUUUGGGGCAAACUUGGACUCUGGUACAUGGGAUGAGGACAUGUGGGUGGAUGCUCUUGAUGAUUUUGACUCCCCAGUCUCUUUAAACCCUGAGAACCUUCACAGGGGCCCACCUCUCCCUAUUACAAGCUAGCAUGCUCCCUCUUACCCUCCAGCGUAGAAAGAUACACCAGCACUAUCUUCUUCCUGGCAAGGCUAUAGAGGCUGCUCUCAGGAUCUGUCUCCACUGUAUCUCCUGAUUGCCAUGGCAAUAACUAGGAUUAUGUUAUGUCUCCGUUGGAAAAGUGCUGGGUCUGAUAAGGGAGGAAAGAGAAUUUACCCCAAAGGAGCUGCAAGACCUGUCAAGCAUGCACUGACAAGAGCUGUGGAAAUACUUACCAAUCAGCUGGAUUUUGAGGGUAAUUGAUCAAUGGGGCUGAAAACUAUGACUGGAUAAGGGAGGGUUUAUUGACCUGAUGGUACUUUCUUGGGACACGCAGGCAAGGACCUUGGGCAUGGGGUAAAGUCACUGCUGGGUGGCUCCAGAGAAAGUGGCAGCCUAAACUGAGCAAAAUUGAAGUGUCUAAAUUGCUAUAACAAACUGUAGAGCAAGGAAUAAAGAGUCUGAGAUAAGUGGGCAGACAGGAAUGCAUAUAUUAUGCAAGGCCAAAAGGUCCACCAGUGGAUUAUGCCCAGAGGACACAGUACUUGCCAAGGCCAUCAGAAAUGUGCUGGUGAGAUGGUCAUCCAUCAGCACCAUUAAGACAUUUAGUGGUGGCUUCUGCUGCAUGCAGGCCUGGGUUAAAUCAGCGAGUCUGUCACAAAACUUGGUUUGUUGAUAGCAAUAGGGAUGAUGGGACUCAAAAGCAAUAGAGGCCAGGUGGUGGUGGCGUUGAUCACCAGAAGCCAUGGGGGUGCAAUUAUCAUUAUGACCAGAAAGAUUGAAAUGACUGCCAAAGGGCCUUAACUAGCAGAGAAUUGUGAAGAGGGUUAAAAACUACAGCUCCCUAAGGGCAAAACCAAUGGGCAUACAACCAGGAUGCUGGUUAAUCAAAAGGAUGCAAAAAUGCACGCAUAGAAGGCUUAGAGUGUCCAUUCAAUAGAAAGUCCUGACACAUUGCCCAUUUCCUGGGUCUGAGCCAGAUUUUAGGACCAAAACCCAUUGACCAAAGAGAUGAUCAGGGAACCAGGUCUCCAGGUCCCCAGGAGGAAGGACGCUGAAACACUAUGACAGUGUAGAGUGUGACAAUUCCACCAGUCCUUUCCCAAAGGGACUGUUAUUAACUUAGAUGACUGCUACAUUGGGGAAAGGGAAAUAUGCAGACAAUUUGAGGACUAUUGGACAGAGGAUCUUAGUUGACAUUGAGGUCUAGACACACUAAGCAUCAUCAUGGCCCCCUGUUAGAGUGGAGGCAUAUGGGAGCCAAAGUCUAGCUUACUGAUUUUGUGGACUCACCUGGUGGUUAUUUUCCUAGUCUCUGUAUAAUUGGGAUGGAUAUACGUGGCAAUUGAUUUAACCCCCACAUUGGGUACUUGGCCUGUGUAGGGCCAACAGCUAUCAUAGUAGAGAAGGCCAAGUGGAUGAAACAUACCUCUUUCUCUAUCACUUACCCCAACCCCCAAGCAGCCAAGGUAGUAACUCAAAAACAAUAUCACAUCCUUGGGGGUUGCAAGAAUUAGUGCUGCCCUUAAGAAUCUAAAAAGAUCUCAUGAAUUAUUUUAUUUGCUAGUGUGGCCUCUGCAGAAACUGAAUGGAUCCUGGGGCAUGAUCACAGAUUGUUCCAAGCAAUAAGCCCAUCCACAGCUGCCAGACUGAACAUGGUAUCCGUGUUAGAACAGAUUAAUGUGGCUUCAGGUAAAUGAUAGGCAGCCAUUGAUUUGGCAUGUGUUUUCUUUUCUAUCCCAGUCAGGAAAGAGGAUCAGAAACAGUUCUCAUUUAUCUGGAAUGGACAAACUAUGCAGUCACAGUUUUGCCACAAGGCUUUCUUAACUUGUCUGUCCUUUGUCAUAACAUAGACCAAAGAGAUCUGGGCAGUCCCACAGAAUAUCACAUUGACCCAUUAUAUUGAUGACAUUAUGCUGGUUGAGAAAAGUGAGGAAGAGGUGGCCAGCUGGAAUCUUAUACUUCAGUAAAAUUUUUAAGGGUCCAGUGCUUGGGCACACUGAGACAUCCUCUGUAAAGUAAACUAAUUGUUGCAUCUUAUAUCCCUCCCACAAAGAAGGAAUCAUAACACCUGGUAAUCUCUUUGGGUUCUGGAGACAAUACCUUCCAUCCCUAGGAAUAGCAUUUUAGGCAUGUACUGGGUGACACAAAACACUACCAACUCUGAGUGAAUCUAGAGCCUCAAAGGGCUAUGUAGCAAGUCCAGGCUAUAGUGCAAUCAGCCCUACAGAUCCAGUAGACCCGAUGGCAUUGGAGGUGUUGGUGGUGGAAAAAGAUAUAGUAUGGAAUUUAUACCAAGACAGAUAUGAUCCCCAAGACUAUGAGGUGGAUGCAAUAACCAGAUAGGACUUUGGAUUUAUCUUUCUUAGAGAGGGUGUGUGUGUGUGUGUGUGUGUGUGUGUGUGUGUAUUUGAAGAUUAUACAGUCAUGUGUCACUUAACAAUGUGGACAUAUUCUGAUAAAUGUGUUGUAAGGUAAUUAGUGUACUUACACAAACCCAGAUGGUACAGCCUACUACACACCUAGGUUAUAUGGUAUAGCCUAUUGCUCACAGGCUACACACCUCCAUGGCAUGUGACUGUACUGAAUACCGUAGUCAGUUAUAACACAAUGGUAAGUGUUUGUGUAUCUAAACAUAUCUAAACACAGAAAAGGUAUAGUAGAAAUACAGUAUAAAAGAUAAAAAAUAGUACACCUGUAUAGGACACUUACCAUGAAUGGAGCUAGCAGGACUGGAGUUGCUCUGAGUGAGACAGUGAGUGAGUGGUGAGGAAAUGUGAAGUUUUAGGACAUCACUGUACACGACUACAGACUUUAUAAACACUGCACACUUACGCUACACUAAAUUUAUAAAACAUUUUUUACUUUAUAAACUUAAUUUUUAAAAACUUUUUGACUCUUUUGUAAAACACUUAGCUUAAAAUACAAACACACUGUAUAGUUCUGCAAAAAUAUUUUCUUCCUUUAUACCCUUAUUCUACAAGCUAUUUCUAUUUUAAAUUUUUUUAUUUUUUACUUCUUAAACUUUUUUGUUAAAGACCAAGACAGAGCACAUACGUUAGCCUAGGCCUACACAGGGUCAGGAUAAUUAAUAUCACUCUCUUCCACCUUCACAUCUUGUCCCACCGGAAGUUCUUCAGAGGCAAU